rnacentral:rRNA from 1 species
ACUUAAAUUGAAGAGUUUGAUCAUGGCUCAGAUUGAACGCUGGCGGCAGGCCUAACACAUGCAAGUCGAGCGGUAGCACAGAGAGCUUGCUCUCGGGUGACGAGCGGCGGACGGGUGAGUAAUGUCUGGGAAACUGCCUGAUGGAGGGGGAUAACUACUGGAAACGGUAGCUAAUACCGCAUAACGUCGCAAGACCAAAGUGGGGGACCUUCGGGCCUCAUGCCAU